UCAAAACAGCGGACUUCGGUCCUUGCUGCACCCUUGUCUUUUGCGUACCGUAUGUUUCCUCGGCGGGCUUGCCUGCCGGUUGGACAUUAUCAAACCUUUUUGUAGGUUUGCAAUCAGCGUCAGAAAAUAAUAAUAAUUA
rnacentral:misc_RNA from 1 species